GACGAGGGAUCCUAGCGUUGUUCGGAAUCAUUGGGCGUAAAGAGUAUGUAGGCGGCCUUGUGAGUCAGUUGUGAAAGCCCCGGGCUCAACCCGGGAAGUGCAAUUGAUACUGCUUGGCUUGAAUGUGGAAGAGGGCAGUAGAAUUCCAGGUGUAGUGGUGAAAUACGUAGAUAUCUGGAGGAAUACCGGUGGCGAAGGCGGCUGCCUGGUCCUACAUUGACGGUGAGAUACGAAAGCGUGGGGAGCAAACAG
rnacentral:rRNA from 1 species